UACGUAGGGGGCCAGCGUUGUCCGGAUUCAUUGGGCGUAAAGCGCGUGUAGGCGGCCAGGUAGGUCCGAUGUGAAAUCUGGAGGCUCAACCUCCAGCGGUCAUUGGAAACCAUCUGGCUAGAGUCCGGAAGAGGAGAGUGGAAUUCCUGGUGUAGCGGUGAAAUGCGCAGAUAUCAGGAGGAACACCAAUUGCGAAGGCAGCUCGCUGGGACGUUACUGACGCUGAGACGCGAAAGCGUGGGGAGCAAACAGG
rnacentral:rRNA from 1 species